AGCCUUAUAGCUCAUCAGCAUGAUGAUUGGGUGUUCAGGUUCUCAUGUGAGACGUGCCUCCCUCAAACCUUGUGAUAACAUUAACAUGUUACCUGUCUGAUG
rfam:Myotis lucifugus cont2.38492, whole genome shotgun sequence.